UUCCAGUAGUGAUAUGCUUGUUUCAAAGAUUAAGCCAUGCAUGUCUAAGUAUAAGCGAACUUAUACAGUGAAACUGCGGAUGGCUCAUUAAAACAGUUUGAAUUUAUUUGAUGAAUGUAUGAGAAUACUACUUGGAUAACCGUAGUAAUUCUAGAGCUAAUACAUGCAACGACGCCCGACCGUUUCACUACGGAAGGGCUGUAUUUAUUGGAUACCAAAACCAUCCUUCCCUCGGGAAGUUUUGUUUGAUGAUUCACAAUAACUGAUCGGAUCGCCACUGUGGUGGCGACAAGUCAUUCAACAUUCUGCCCUAUCAGCUUUCGAUGGUUGUGUAGUGGACAACCAUGGCCAUAACGGGUAACGGAGAAUCAGGGUUCGAUUCCGGAGAAGGAGCUUGAGAAUUGGCUACUACAUCUAAGGAAGGCAGCAGGCGCGCAAAUUACCCAAUCCCGAUUCGGGGAGGUAGUGACAAAAAAUAACAAUACCGGGCCUUUUUGGGCUUGGUAAUUGGAAUGAGGGAGAGUUAAACGGACCAUCGAGUAUCCAUUGGAGGGCAAGUCUGGUGCCAGCAGCUGCGGUAAUACCAGCUCCAAUAGCGUAUAUUAAAGUUGUUGCAGUUUAAAAGCUCGUAGUUGGACUUGUGUGCGCUGUCCGCGGGUGGCCUGCGCCCAAAAGGGCGUUUCGGUUCGGCCCCGGCGGCGCCUUGAAAUCUGCAGCUGGGGGGACGUUGGCCUUAACUGGUCGGCGACCGCACGCCGGCUGCUCGGUUACUGUGAGAAAAUUAGAGUGUUCAAGGCAGGCAUUGGGUGCAAUUGAAUACAUUAGCAUGGAAUAAUAAAAUAUGGCUCCUGCCGUAUUUUGUUGGUUUUGACUGGUGGGAGUAAUGAUUGAUAGGGACGGUUGGGGGUGCUAGUAUUGAGCGGCCAGAGGUGAAAUUCAUGGAUUCGCUCAAGACUAACUUAUGCGAAAGCAUUCACCAAGGACGUCCUCUUUAAUCAAGAACGAAAGUUGGGGGAUCGAAGACGAUCAGAUACCGUCGUAGUCUCAACCAUAAACUAUGUCGACUUGGGAUCGGCGGUAGUUUUUUCAUUAAGACACUGUCGGGACCACGGGAGAAAUCAAAGUGUCUGGACUCUGGGGGAAGUAUGGUCGCAAGGCUGAAACUUGAAGGAAUUGACGGAAGGGCACCACCAGGAGUGGAGCCUGCGGCUUAAUUUGACACAACACGGGGAAACUUACCAGGUCCAGAGAUGUAGAGGAUUGACAGAUUGAAGCUCUUUCUUGAUCACUUCGGUGGUGGUGCAUGGCCGUUCUUAGUUGGUGGAGUGAUUUGUCUGGUUAAUUCCGUUAACGAUCGAGACCUCAGCCUGCUAGUGUAGUCGGCUGGA
rnacentral:rRNA from 1 species